rnacentral:misc_RNA from 1 species
AGAUCGGUUGCCUAUUGACCCUUGUUGGUACUAAUAUGGUUGCGCACGCUGAGGCCAGUAAACAUAUUGGGAUUGGCUUGGUGAUGUAGGCUACAUCCCGGUCAUGGUGGGUUCGAUGGUGGGUUUGUUACUUUCGCAUCGUUCGGUGCAUUUUGGGGGCUGUUUUGGCUUUUGGUUGCUUGCUUAGCCUUUUGGUUGGGUGGGUGGCUACUAGUUGGGCGGCUUUCGGGAAUGAUGACCGGGGAGGUGCAUGAGUGGUGAUUGGUUUGUUACGUGUGGAUGGCUGUUUGCUCGCGCACCAACGUUCACGCUGCAUACCUCUUCAGUUCUGCGUCAAGACUGGCUUUGUCUUGAGCAUGUUGUGGGUUUCCUGUGUUGCAUACCUAAUUGACGGUAACGUGUGGGUUUKAYGGUUUUCUUUUUCGUCAUGCGUCCAUCAUGUGGCGUGGGAUGAACAAUGAAACGGUCUUUGUAAUCCACAGUGUUGUGCUUGCAACAACGAUGUGGCCUAUGAAGCAUC